rnacentral:tRNA from 1 species
GCCGGGGUGGUGAAACUGGCAGACACAGGGGACUUAAAAUCCCCUGGCCGGCAACGGCCGUGCGGGUUCGAGCCCCGCCCCCGGCA